AGCCCCAUAGCACAGUGGUCAAGUGUAUUCGGUUCUGGGCCGAAUGACCCAGGUUCGAAUCCUGGUGGGGCUA
rnacentral:tRNA from 1 species